UACAGAGGUCCCAAGCGUUGUUCGGAUUCAUUGGGCGUAAAGGGUGCGUAGGUGGCGCUGUAAGUCGGGUGUGAAACCCUCAGGCUCAACCUGGGGACGCCACCCGAUACUGCUGUGGCUAGAGUCCAGUAGGGGAGUGUGGAAUUCCCGGUGUAGCGGUGAAAUGCGCAGAUAUCGGGAGGAACACCAGCGGCGAAGGCGGCACUCUGGGCUGGUACUGACGCUGAGGAGCGAAAGCGUGGGUAGCAAACAGG
rnacentral:rRNA from 1 species